ensembl:lncRNA
CUUCACAGUUCCCAACCUUUCCCUGACAGAACAAAGUCAGCAGACAUGUCUCCCAGAGGUCCUUCUGCUCUCCUGGUUGCAUCCCAAAUGGAAUCCUAUGCCCUACACACAGUAGUGCACUACAGGGCCCUGGUCAAAUGUAGGGGACAAUAUAGGGAAUAGGGUGCUAUUUGGGACUCAACCUUUGUCCAAGCGGCAGUGCGGUGGGUGGGACACACCCAUCCCAGUGUUAAUGGUCAACCCAAUCAAGUUGGCCGGCGGGAGGAAAAGGCGCAGCCAGUCUGGAGGUCUCGGUAUAGAACAAGGGAACAGCAGAGGGGACAGACAGAGACCCUUUCACACCAAGCUGCCUGACAGAAACAACAAUAAAGUUCACAGAGUGAUUCAUACCAGGACUCCGCCAGGGCGCCACUGCGUUCCGCACUGCCCCGUCAGGAAGAGGUAAUGCCCUCCAUCCUCUCUACCCUCUGUCUGAGUAUGACGUGCUCUUCCACCUGGCCGGCUUCCCCUCUGGAACCAUCCGGAAGAAAGAUGCCUUCCUGCUGCCCUUUUCUAGCGUUCCUCCUUCUGGACUGAUGGAUGCUGGGGCUUUGAGGGGAUAAUGGACAUACUCAUUUACUAUGGAACUAUCUGACUGUGUAUAUGUGUGGGUGUCUGCGUGCGUCCGUCUGUGCUUGUGCGUGUGUGUCUGGUGUGUGUGUGUCCGGUGUGUGUCCGGUGUGUGUGUGUGUCCGGUGCGUGUGUGUGUCCGGUGUGUGUGUGUGUCUGGUGUGUGUGUCUGGUGUGUGUGUGUCCGGUGUGUGUGUGUGUCUGUGUGUGUGUGUCCGGUGUGUGUGUGUGUCUGGUGUGUGUGUGUCCGGUGUGUGUGUGUGUCUGGUGUGUGUGUGUCCGUGUGUGUGUGUCUGGUGUGUGUGUGUCUGGUGUGUGUGUGUGUCCGGUGUGUGUCUGGUGUGUGUGUGUGUCCGGUGUGUGUGUGUGUCCGUGUCCUGUGUGUGUGUGUGUCCCCAGUGUGUGUGUGUGUCCCCGUGUGUGUGUGUGUCCGGUGUGUGUGUGUCUAGUGUGUGUGUGUCUGUGUGUGUGUGUGUCCAGUGAGUGUGUGUGUCCGUGUGUGUGUGUGUGUGUCAGAUGCGUGUGUGUCCAGUGAGUGUGUGUGUCCGGUGUGUGUGUGUCCGGUGUGUGUGUUUGUCCGGUGUGUGUGUGUCCCCGGUGUGUGAGUGUCCGGUGAAUGUGUGUGUCCGGUGUGUGUGUGUGUCCGGUGUGUGUGUGUGUCCUGUGUGUGUGUGUCCCCUGUGUGUGUGUGUCCUGUGUGUGUGUGUGUGUCCGGUGUGUGUGUGUGUGUCCGUGGGUUGUGUGUGUGUGUGUGUGUGUGUCCGGUGUGUGUGUGUCCGGUGUGUGUGUGCCCGGUGUGUGUGUGUCUCCGGUGUGUGUGUGUCCGGUGUGUGUGUGCCCGGUGUGUGUGUCCUGUGUGUGUGUGUCCGGUGUGUGUGUGUGUGUGUCCGUGUGUGUGUGCCCGGUGUGUGUGAGCCCGGUGUGUGUGUGUGUCCUGUGUGUGUGUGCCCGGUGUGUGUCCUGUGUGUGUGUGUCCGGUGUGUGUGUGUCCCGAGCCAAUUCCAACAUUUGGAAGCAUUCUUCCAGUCUCCGUCACCUUAAUCUGGAGCUGGAAGCUCAAUCUGCUAUGACAGCGUCUCUGCAUCACAAUACAUUCCAGCAGGUCUCCCCAGUCACAUGGAUCAUUUCAUCCUGACACAGAAGGACAAAUAAAUGCUUUUUAAAUUUUUUUUAUUUUUUACAGGCUCUUUAUUUGCACGUUAGAAAUAAAUCCUUUUUCAUUUGCGCCUUAGAAGUAUAAACACUUCUUUAAAGAUGCACAUGUUAAAACAUGUUACUGUCUUAACCUUGCCAGACAAUUAUCA